rnacentral:rRNA from 1 species
GAUGAACGCUAGCUACAGGCUUAACACAUGCAAGUCGAGGGGCAGCGCAGUGUAGCAAUACAUGGGCGGCGACCGGCGCACGGGUGCGUAACGCGUAUCCAACCUUCCCGUUACUCAGGGAUAGCCUUCCGAAAGGGAGAUUAAUACCUGAUGGUGUUGAAAUUCCGCAUGUUAUUUCAACUAAAGAUUUAUCGGUAACGGAUGGGGAUGCGUGACAUUAGGUAGAUGGCGGGGUAACGGCCCACCAUGCCUACGAUGUCUAGGGGUUCUGAGAGGAAGGUCCCCCACAUUGGAACUGAGACAUGGUCCAGACUCCUACGGGAGGCAGCAGUGAGGAAUAUUGGUCAAUGGUCGGAAGACUGAACCAGCCAAGUAGCGUGAAGGAUGAAGGUUCUAUGGAUUGUGAACUUCUUUUAUACGGGAAUAAAACCUCCCACGUGUGGGAGCUUGUAUGUACCGUAUGAAUAAGCAUCGGCUAACUCCGUGCCAGCCGCCGCAGUAACAC